GAUGAACGCUGGCGGCGUGCCUAAUACAUGCAAGUCGAGCGAACGGACGAGAAGCUUGCUUUUCUGAUGUUAGCGGCGGACGGGUGAGUAACACGUGGAUAACCUACCUAUAAGACUGGGAUAACUUCGGGAAACCGGAGCUAAUACCGGAUAAUAUUUUGAACCGCAUGGUUCAAAAGUGAAAGACGGUCUUGCUGUCACUUAUAGAUGGAUCCGCGCUGCAUUAGCUAGUUGGUAAGGUAACGGCUUACCAAGGCAACGAUGCAUAGCCGACCUGAGAGGGUGAUCCGCCACACUGGAACUGAGACACGGUCCCGACUCCUACGGGAGGCAGCAGUAGGGAAUCUUCCGCAAUGGGGGAAAGCCUGACGGAGCAACGCCGCGUGAGUGAUGAAGGUCUUCGGAUCGUAAAACUCUGUUAUUAGGGAAGAACAUAUGUGUAAGUAACUGUGCACAUCUUGACGGUACCUAAUCAGAAAGCCACGGCUAACUACGUG
rnacentral:rRNA from 1 species